rnacentral:rRNA from 1 species
AGAGUUUGAUCAUGGCUCAGGACGAACGCUGGCGGCACGCUUAACACAUGCAAGUCGAACGAGAGAAGAGGAGCUUGCUUUUCUGAUCUAGUGGCGGACGGGUGAGUAACACGUGAGCAAUCUGCCUUUCAGAGGGGGAUACCGAUUGGAAACGAUCGUUAAUACCGCAUAACAUAAUUGAACCGCAUGAUUUGAUUAUCAAAGAUUUAUCGCUGAAAGAUGAGCUCGCGUCUGAUUAGCUAGUUGGUAAGGUAACGGCUUACCAAGGCGACGAUCAGUAGCCGGACUGAGAGGUUGAUCGGCCACAUUGGGACUGAGACACGGCCCAGACUCCUACGGGAGGCAGCAGUGGGGAAUAUUGCACAAUGGAGGAAACUCUGAUGCAGCGAUGCCGCGUGAGGGAAGAAGGUUUUAGGAUUGUAAACCUCUGUCUUCAGGGACGAAAAAAGACGGUACCUGAGGAGGAAGCUCCGGCUAACUACGUGCCAGCAGCCGCGGUAAUACGUAGGGAGCGAGCGUUGUCCGGAAUUACUGGGUGUAAAGGGAGCGUAGGCGGGAUCGCAAGUCAGAUGUGAAAACUAUGGGCUUAACCCAUAAACUGCAUUUGAAACUGUGGUUCUUGAGUGAAGUAGAGGUAAGCGGAAUUCCUAGUGUAGCGGUGAAAUGCGUUGAUAUUAGGAGGAACAUCAGUGGCGAAGGCGGCUUACUGGGCUUUAACUGACGCUGAGGCUCGAAAGCGUGGGGAGCAAACAGGAUUAGAUACCCUGGUAGUCCACGCCGUAAACGAUGAUUACUAGGUGUGGGGGGACUGACCCCUUCCGUGCCGCAGCAAACGCAAUAAGUAAUCCACCUGGGGAGUACGACCGCAAGGUUGAAACUCAAAGGAAUUGACGGGGGCCCGCACAAGCAGUGGAGUAUGUGGAUUAAUUCGAAGCAACGCGAAGAACCUUACCAGGUCUUGACAUCGUAUGCAUAGCUCAGAGAUGAGUGAAAUCUCUUCGGAGACAUAUAGACAGGUGGUGCAUGGUUGUCGUCAGCUCGUGUCGUGAGAUGUUGGGUUAAGUCCCGCAACGAGCGCAACCCUUACUGUUAGUUGCUACGCAAGAGCACUCUAGCAGGACUGCCGUUGACAAAACGGAGGAAGGUGGGGAUGACGUCAAAUCAUCAUGCCCCUUAUGACCUGGGCCUCACACGUACUACAAUGGCUGUCAACAGAGGGAAGCAAAGCCGCGAGGUGGAGCGAACCCCUAAAAGCAGUCUUAGUUCGGAUUGUAGGCUGCAACCCGCCUACAUGAAGUCGGAAUUGCUAGUAAUCGCAGAUCAGCAUGCUGCGGUGAAUACGUUCCCGGGCCUUGUACACACCGCCCGUCACGCCAUGGGAGUCGGUAACACCCGAAGCCUGUAGUCUAACCGCAAGGAGGACGCAGUCGAAGGUGGGAUUGAUGACUGGGGUGAAGUCGUAACAAGGUA